rnacentral:ncRNA from 2 species
AAUCAAUCAUAUCUCCGAGCCUGAUCAACCUAACGAGAAAUCUAUGGUUGCCGGCCAGGGCUUUAAGCCCUCAGGGCGUAACCGGAAACGGGUAUGCCUUCACAUUUGAAAAGGAGGUGGCAGGCCUGGUAA